rnacentral:rRNA from 1 species
GACGAACGCUGGCGGCGUGCUUAACACAUGCAAGUCGAACGGAAAGGCCCUGCUUUUGUGGGGUGCUCGAGUGGCGAACGGGUGAGUAACACGUGAGUAACCUGCCCUUGACUUUGGGAUAACUUCAGGAAACUGGGGCUAAUACCGGAUAGGAGCUCCUGCUGCAUGGUGGGGGUUGGAAAGUUUCGGCGGUUGGGGAUGGACUCGCGGCUUAUCAGCUUGUUGGUGGGGUAGUGGCUUACCAAGGCUUUGACGGGUAGCCGGCCUGAGAGGGUGACCGGCCACAUUGGGACUGAGAUACGGCACAGACGCCUACGGGAGGCAGCAGUGGGGAAUAUUGCACAAUGGGCGGAAGCCUGAUGCAGCAACGCCGCGUGAGGGAUGACGGCCUUCGGGUUGUAAACCGCUUUCGCCUGUGACGAAGCGUGAGUGAAGGUAAUGGGUAAAGAAGCACCGGCUAACUACGUG